UCUCCUGGAAACGGGUGGCAAUGCCGGAUGCUCCAGUUGAUCGCAUGGUCUUCUGGGAAAGCUUUCGCGGUAUGGGAUGGGGUCGCGUCCUAUCAGCUUGACGGCGGGGUAACGGCCCACCGUGGCUUCGACGGGUAGCCGGCCUGAGAGGGCGACCGGCCACAUUGGGACUGAGAUACGGCCCAGACUCCUACGGGAGGCAGCAGUGGGGAAUAUUGCACAAUGGGCGCAAGCCUGAUGCAGCGACGCCGCGUGAGGGAUGGAGGCCUUCGGGUUGUAAACCUCUUUUAUCGGGGAGCAAGCGAGAGUGAGUUUACCCGUUGAAUAAGCACCGGCUAACUACGUGCCAGCAGCCGCGGUAAUACGUAGGGUGCAAGCGUUAUCCGGAAUUAUUGGGCGUAAAGGGCUCGUAGGCGGUUCGUCGCGUCCGGUGUGAAAGUCCAUCGCUUAACGGUGGAUCCGCGCCGGGUACGGGCGGGCUUGAGUGCGGUAGGGGAGACUGGAAUUCCCGGUGUAACGGUGGAAUGUGUAGAUAUCGGGAAGAACACC
rnacentral:rRNA from 1 species